rnacentral:lncRNA from 1 species
AGUUCUCUGCCCGCCCCUUUGCGGCCCAGAUCCCAGUCGCCGCGGCCUGCGUGGAACUCUGCGCGAGCUGAAUCUCCUGCUGCAGGACGAGCCCCGACCCCGAGCCCGAUCCCCUCCGCGGUCCCAGCCUCUUUGUCCGAUCGCAUUUUCCAUCUCCUCUGCCAGGAAUGCUCUCCCAACCAGAGCAAAUCCAGAUGUCCCCUCGGCGACUGUGGGCACCCUCCCCAGCUGUGGAGCCUUCGCACGCCUUCCUCAGAGUCCGUGGUUGUAAAAUUUGUUUUGCUCUAAAGUAUUUGACUGUCUCCCUCACUAGAUCCUGAGGGUUUUAGUGAGUGCCUCAGUGUGAGCACAUGCAGGCACUGCUAGGCGCCUGUAGUUGAUUCUUAGUUAAUACAAGUGAAUAAUCACAACUAGACCUUAAAUUGCAGGGACUAUGUGACAGGCACUUUUUAAAAUGCUUUAUACGUGUUGAUUUAAGUGUAAUCGUCACAAGAACCCUGCGAGGAAGAUAGGACAGCAAGUGCCCUGUUCCUGUUUGUAAACGUGCCCGACACUCUGCAACAACACCUACAACAGAACCGUGCUAGUUUUGGGGGUUCGCAAUAAAAGUUUCUGUUUGAACGGAUCCUAGAGUGUGCAGGGACACAGCAAUGGAAGACCUGGUCCCUUUGUCUGUACUUAGUCUAUAGCCAGUUCAUUGUGAGAAAUUUCUUUAGAUCGACACCUGCCACUGUUAGUCCGGGUUUCCCAGUCUGUCCUUUCUAACUCCCUUCCUGCCUUACCCCCUAAAAAGCUACCUCCCCUCUUCCCACUCCUGAUAAUGAACACUAU